rnacentral:rRNA from 1 species
UAGCCGUAAACGAUACUCGCUAGGUGUCGGCCACGGUGCGACCGUUGUCGGUGCCGUAGGGAAGCCGUGAAGCGAGCCACCUGGGAAGUACAGCCGCAAGGCUGAAACUUAAAGGAAUUGGCGGGGGAGCACCACAACGGGUGGAGCUUGCGGUUUAAUUGGAUUCAACGCCGGAAAUCUUACCGGGACCGACAGCAACAUGAAGGCCAGGCUGAAGACUUUGCCGGAUUAGCUGAGAGGAGGUGCAUGGCGUAGUCGUGU